rnacentral:rRNA from 1 species
AUUGAACGCUGGCGGCAGGCCUAACACAUGCAAGUCGAACGAGUGGCGGACGGGUGAGUAAUGUCUGGGAAACUGCCUGAUGGAGGGGGAUAACUACUGGAAACGGUAGCUAAUACCGCAUACCAUCAGAUGUGCCCAGAUGGGCUUAGCUUGUGGGUGGGGUAACGUCACACCAAGGCGACGAUCCCUAGCUGGUCUGAGAGGAGGACCAGCCCCACGGGAAGUGAGACACGGUCCAGACUCCUACGGGAGGCAGCAGUGGGGAAUUUUGCACAAUGGGCGGAGGCCUGAUGCAGCCAUGCCGCGUGUGUGAAGAGGGCCUUCGGGUUGUAAAGUACUUUCGGCGGGGAGGCGUUACCCGCAGAAGAAGCACCGGCUAACUCCGUGCCAGCAGCCGCGGUAAUAC